AAGAGCUUACGAACUACAAGAAACAUCACGGUCUUUUGCAGCUAUUUUGGGCCAAGAAAUAUUUCAGUUUAACUGUAUUAUCUUGAAUAUCGUCAGUUCAGUCAAGGCCGACAUGUGUUUCCUCGAGUUUAUUGACGGGAUAGUGUGGUUUUAAUUCAAUCUCGAGGAUCAAUUGAUGUCAAUUCGUAAACAAUGUACUCGAGGACAGCGGUGAGGACGAAAAUCGAGAAGUGCGGAGGAAUGUGUCAAACAGAAUAAGAAGCGUUUAGAUUCGAGAAGCUCAAGGCAGGAAAGUUGCAGGAUAACUUUCAACAAGACUGAAAGCCUAAUAUCUCUGAUGCUUCAAGCGCAAGUCAACAAAGUGAAAGACAGAUUUCUAAGAAAACAGAUGCAGCACAUUUCUGGCAAGAAUAAUCUGCUAAAAUCUAAGAGUUAAAGCAGAAAAACACCA